UCUCCUGAGGACAGACACUGAGCUACCAAGAUGUGAGCUGGAAGGGUUGGGGCUGAGGAGGUCCCUGGAAGCCAGCCCCACCCCUGUUCAUUCUCCAGAUCGCUCAGCCAGUCACUACCCUGUGUACCAGAUGCAGCAUCUGUUUAACAGCAACCCCCACUGGGACUUUGGGGCCUUCAGGAGACUCAGCCACCUGGUACAAGAGACUCACCUCAACUUCUCAAGGUUUGCCCACCAGUUCCUAGAUCCAGGCACAUAUGUGUUUCGAGACAAUGGACUGCCUGAAAGCGUCAUCGUGGUGCUGGUGAAGAAGAAAGGAGUGGCCUGUGAUCCCAGUCUAUCCCCCGUACAGCCCUCCUCCCCAUAUCAGCUUACCAGGCAUGGGGUUCUCAGGCACAGGCUGCCAAACCUGGGCCCAGACUGGGCAGUGAUCACAGGAAUGCUACUGGCUAUUGGCUUAGCAACCGUGCUGCUGACAGGCCUCAGCCUCAUACUGAGACCCCCGCUGGCCCAGGCCUGCCCUGCGAGGGCUUGGCGGCCCCAGUGGAGGAGCCUUGGGGAGACUCAUGUGCCCACUGAGUAUGUGCCCCUUAGGGACAGGUGAGUCCACUUCACCCUUCACUCCUUUCCCAGCCUAGGGGUCAUGGCCUGUCUGGCCACUUUCCACCCUCUCCACACUCAUGACCCCAGUGCUGGCCCUGGAAACUCGGGAAAGAACACCUUCCUAAGCUGAUCUGUGAUGUUCAUUGCUGGCACUCCUGUUCAUAUGAGCACUGUGCCACCUGAGUGUGGGUGCUUCUUUUCAGCCUUUUGUCCUAUGAAGACCUUAGUCCUGUGGGCUCUGGGGAAGGAGCUGAUCCCAAGGAGAAAGCCAUUACCUGGGGUACAGGUACCACACUUGUGUGCAACAACUCUCCUUCUCCUCUUCUCCUGCCCUCCACCC
rnacentral:lncRNA from 1 species